rnacentral:lncRNA from 1 species
GAAUUGGUUAAUUCAGUCUCUGUGGAAUACGACCUUGCUUGCUACUGUACACAAUUGCACCCGUACACUUGCGGCGUGUUAAAUAAAAUAGCGAACAAGUUUUUGGCGCCGUUGCCGGGGACUGAUUUUUAUCAGUACUAUCUGUUGAUUAUUUGAUACUAAUCUGGAUUUUUUUUUGUUAUUUUUAUUUAUUUUCUCUAUUUUUCUUUUGGUUCUUAUUUUUUGGUUCUGGAGUUUUUCCAGGUAGUGCAUGAGCAGCGAUGGAGAUUUUUGAUAGCGUGGGCACUACAUGCUAUCAAUGGCCAGCCGAGAGGGUAUAUUUGGAGAAUGUUGCUGCCACCACAAAUUCUGAUUCAGUUACUUUGUUAGCCACUCAAAUCGCUGCAUUGUCUUCCAAGAUAAAUGCUUUGAGUAUUGCUAAGAUGGAGUCAGCUGUGAAAAAUCCGAUGAUGAUGGAAGAGGCAAAUUUUGUCAGCAAUUGGAAUUUCAGGAAUUUUCAGCAGGGUGGAUUUCAAAG